GGACGCCCGGGGCUGGUGCGGGGGGUGACCGGCCCUCGGGGAGGGGCCCGCGGCAGCCGCCGGAGGCCGGUCCCGGGCGAGCGAGGGUCGGGCCAGCCUGGGGCAGCGGGGCUGGGCCUCCCUUUCUCUUCCUCUUCCUCUUCCCCUUCCCUUCGGGGGCGCCCGGGGACCUCCGCCGCGCGGGUGUGCGGGGGUCCGUGUCCAUCUUCGCCCGCGGGCCCUGCCCGUGGGGAUCCUCACGGCCGGCGGGGCCCUGCCUCUCGCCGCCCGGGAGAAGUGUCUCGCCGGCUGCCGGGGCUGGUGCCUGUGGCUGUUGUUGCUUCAUGAAAAGAGUCGGAUGGCAAGAUCUACAGUUGUAGAGAAGAACAGAGGCAGUGUGGUAGCAAGAUGGAACUCUUGCUAUCACAGAAGGAAACCCAGAAGGAAAGUCUAAUCUGGAGAACAGCGGAUAUGUAAAGUAGGAGGAAAAGAAGUUAAGACCCCAGGUUCUGAUGUUAGUUCAGAGGAAUGCUGUGGUGGGGAAGUUUCUAGUUUGCAAGCUUUGACUCUCCUAAACCAAAGAAAAGCUCACUGACUUGUUGCCAGACUGGAAUUGUAAGUGACAGAAAUAAAAUCGCUCCAAAAGCAAGAGGUGGCUGGAUGAAAGCAUCUUUACCUAAUUCAUUGCUGGGGAGGUAGAGCUUUCCAACCCUUACAAAGGGAAAGAAGCAGAAGCAACAAGACAACAUAACAUCCCCUUCUGCAGCAUUUUAAGUUUGUUAAAUUUAUUGUUUACCAGCCUUGAGUUCUAGUGUGAGGAACUGGAGAUGGCAAUAGUGAAGAGGGUUAAAACUUGCAUGUAAAAAUAGGGCUUUUUUCAGCUCUUGUUAAUCCCUGUGUUUAGCCUACCCAGAAGGAACUCCACAGACUGCGUGCUGCCAAAGGACACAGUGUAUUGUAUUUAAGUCUGUUGCAGCUGAUUUGUCUUUAUCAGGGAUCCUGGUUUUCCCUGAUUUAAAAAAUAAAUAAAUAAAUAAAAACAU